GACAAAUAUAUAUAUAUGCAUGCAUGCAUUGAUUUGUUACUUGUGCUAGGAGACUUAUUUCCAUCCUUGUUCUCUCACAUCCUAUUCUUGUUCUUGUUAAAAAUCAUUCUAUGUUCUUGUCUCACAUCAUUGUUAUUACCACUAGUAUUAGUAUUAUGUUAGGUCUAUUUGUAGACACUUUCAAACUAUUGUUGCUUUAAUUAGGUAUUUAGACUUAGUUCGAUGUCUUUAUUAUAGGACCACCGUGAGGAAUUUAUUUGGAUCUCAAUUGGGAUUAGACUAUUGUCAAAUCAGGAGCAGUAGACCCAGGGAUCUUAGAAGGCUUCCAGUAGAUGUCUUCUUUGGAAUUAUGUCUUAUAGCUUAUGUCUUUGCAUCUGUUGUAUUAUUGUCUAAGAACCUCCUUGUAGGUCAUGUUCUAUUUCUUUUGCCUUGUAUUUGGGUUUGGUUGUAAACCUUAAGUUGUACUCUUAUUUGAUAUUUUGUCAGUUAUUUUCUACUCCUAGUCUGUGUUUAGGUUUUGAGGCCUUGCAGGUUCACUGGGCCCCGCCCUGUGGGUCUGUGGCCGUUUGUCAGCGCACAAGGUUCGGGACGUGACAGUUUAGCCAUAGAUGGCCCAGAUUUUCACAGCAAAAGUCCUAAAGAAAUGAAAGAUUUAAUACUGAAAAUCCAGGUUAAGAAGCAUGGACACGGACAUGGUGACAC